GACGAACGCUGGCGGCGUGCUUAACACAUGCAAGUCGAACGAAGAGCGAUGGAAGCUUGCUUCUAUCAAUCUUAGUGGCGAACGGGUGAGUAACGCGUAAUCAACCUGCCCUUCAGAGGGGGACAACAGUUGGAAACGACUCUAAUACCGCAUACGAUCUAAUCUCGGCAUCGAGGAUGGAUGAAAGGUGGCCUCUACAUGUAAGCUAUCACUGAAGGAGGGGAUUGCGUCUGAUUAGCUAGUUGGAGGGGUAACGGCCCACCAAGGCGAUGAUCAGUAGCCGGUCUGAGAGGAUGAACGGCCACAUUGGGACUGAGACACGGCCCAGACUCCUACGGGAGGCAGCAGUGGGGAAUCUUCCGCAAUGGACGAAAGUCUGACGGAGCAACGCCGCGUGAGUGAUGACGGCCUUCGGGUUGUAAAGCUCUGUUAAUCGGGACGAAAGGCCUUCUUGCGAAUAGUGAGAAGGAUUGACGGUACCGGAAUAGAAAGCCACGGCUAACUACGUG
rnacentral:rRNA from 1 species